UACAGAGGUCCCAAGCGUUGUUCGGAUUCACUGGGCGUAAAGGGUGCGUAGGUGGCCAGGUAAGUUCGGUGUGAAAGCUCGGAGCUCAACUCCGAAAUGUCAUUGAAUACUAUCUGGCUUUAUUGAGGGUCGGAGGGGAGACUGGAAUUCCCGGUGUAGCAGUGAAAUGCGUAGAUAUCGAGAGGAACACCAGUGGCGAAGGCGAGUCUCUGGACGACACCUGACACUGAGGCACGAAAGCUAGGGGAGCAAACAGG
rnacentral:rRNA from 1 species